rnacentral:rRNA from 1 species
GCCAGCAGCCGCGGUAAUACGUAAGCCCCAAGCAUUAUCCGAAAUUACUGGGCGUAAAGCGAUCGAAGGCGGUCUAUUAAGUCUGGCGUUAAAGCCCUCGGCUCAACCGAGGAACCGUGCUAGAAACUGGUAUGACUGGAGGAAUGCAGAGGCAAGUGGAAUUUCUAUUGUAGGGGUUAAAUCCGUAGAUAAUAGAAGGAACACCAAAAGCGAAGGCAGCUUGCUGGGCAUUUCCUGACGCUGCACGAUCGAAAGCGUGGGGAGCGAAACGGAUUAGAUACCCGUGUAGUCCACGCCCUAAACGAUGAAUACUCGGUGUUCGAGGGUUUCAAUCCCCUUGAGUGCCCAAGCUAACGCGUUAAGUAUUCCGCCUGAGGAGUACGGUCGCAAGAUUAAAACUCAAAGGAAUAGACGGGGAUCCACACAAGCGGUGGAGCAUCUGGUUUAAUUCGAUAAUAAGCGGGGAACCUUACCGGGGCUUGACAUCCUGAGAAUCUUCUGGAAACAGAGGAGUGCCUUUCGGAACUCAGUGACAGGUGCUGCAUGGUUGUCGUCAGCUCGUGCCUUGAGGUGUUCGGUUAAGUCCGUUAACGAGCGCAACCCUCGUCGUAUGUUGUUUUUUUCAUACGAGACUGCCAGUUCCAAACUGGAGGAAGGUGAGGAUUACGUCAAAUCAGCAUGGCCCUUAUGUCCCGGGCGACGCAGGUGCUACAAUGGCCAGUACAAUGCGCAGCCAAGCCGUAAGGUGGAGCAAAUCGCACCAAAACUGGUCUCAGUUCGGAUUGAGGUCUGCAACUCGACCUCAUGAAGUUGGAAUCGCUAGUAAUCGCGGAUCAGCCAUGCCGCGGUGAAUAUGUUCCUGGAUCUUGUACUCACCGCCCGUCAAAUCACGAAAGAUAGGGGCACCCAAAGUCGU